rnacentral:rRNA from 1 species
GACGAACCGUGCGAACGUUAUUCGGAAUCACUGGGCUAAAGCGCGUGUAGGCGGGAGGGCACGUCCGUUGCUGAAAUCCCCCGGCUCAACCGGGGAACGGGCGCGGAUACGACUCUCCUUGAGGGGCGUAGGGGGACCUGGAACUUCCGGUGGAGCGGUGAAAUGCGUUGAGAUCGGAAGGAACGCCCGUGGCGAAAGCGAGGUCCUGGACGCUACUGACGCUGAGACGCGAAAGCCAGGGAGAGCGA